rnacentral:rRNA from 1 species
GACGAACGCUGGCGGCGUGCCUAAUACAUGCAAGUUGAGCGCUGAAGGUUGGUACUUGUACCAACUGGAUGAGCAGCGAACGGGUGAGUAACGCGUGGGGAAUCUGCCUUUGAGCGGGGGACAACAUUUGGAAACGAAUGCUAAUACCGCAUAAAAACUUUAAACACAAGUUUUAAGUUUGAAAGAUGCAAUUGCAUCACUCAAAGAUGAUCCCGCGUUGUAUUAGCUAGUUGGUGAGGUAAAGGCUCACCAAGGCGAUGAUACAUAGCCGACCUGAGAGGGUGAUCGGCCACAUUUGGACUGGGACACGGCCCAAACUUCUACGGGAGGCAGCAGUAGGGAAUCAUCGGCCAUGGACGGAAGUCUGACCGAGCAACGCCGCGGUAGGGAAGAAGGGUUUCGGAUCGUAAAACUCUGUUGGUAGAGAAGAACGUUGGUGAGAGUGGAAAGCUCAUCAAGUGACGGUAACUACCCAGAAAGGGACGGCUAACUACGUG